rnacentral:sRNA from 1 species
GUUCUGGGUUAACAAAGUGAACGUGUGUAUCAAUAGCACCAGCAGUUAUGAUUUUACCUUCUGCAGCAAUAACAUCCGUUGUUGCACCAAUCACAAUAUCCACAUUGUCCAUGAUAUCAGGGUUACCCGCUUUACCAACUUUCAUAAUAUACCCGUUUUUAACACCAAUAUCUGCUUUGACUACUUUGUCGUAAUCGAGAAUAAGCGCAUUGGUAAUAACUAAGUCUGCUACUUUUUUGUCGUCUCUUGUUACGUUAGGAUUUUGAGCCAUACCAUCUCU